rnacentral:rRNA from 1 species
GGGGUGGGGACCCACGGCGAACGGUUUCAUCAGACUUAAAAAAAGAAUAUAUACGAUUGCAUUGCAUAUACUAACGGAUGCGAUCAUACCAGCACUAAUGCACCGGAUCCCAUCAGAACUCCGCAGUUAAGCGUGCUUGGGCGAGAGUAGUACUAGGAUGGGUGACCUCCCGGGAAGUCCUCGUGUUGCAUCCCUCUUUUUUUUUUUUUUUUUUUGGUUAAAACUUUAUGACUCUAUAACUUCUAUACCGUGAGGCCAAACUUGGCAUGUGAUACCUUUUCGGAAAGCCCAAAGAGAGCCCUCCGACGAAAGAAGCCAGACAAUGGAACUUUUCCAUUGACUUUUUGUCGACUCCAAAUUUUGACCUUUACUUACUUUUUCGGGAAUCGAAU